rnacentral:rRNA from 1 species
GCAGCAGCCACGGUAAUACGUAGGGUGCAAGCGUUAAUCGGAAUUACUGGGCGUAAAGCGUGCGCAGGCGGUUAUAUAAGACAGAUGUGAAAUCCCCGGGCUCAACCUGGGAACUGCAUUUGUGACUGUAUAGCUAGAGUACGGCAGAGGGGGAUGGAAUUCCGCGUGUAGCAGUGAAAUGCGUAGAUAUGCGGAGGAACACCGAUGGCGAAGGCAAUCCCCUGGGCCUGUACUGACGCUCAUGCACGAAAGCGUGGGGAGCAAACAGGAUUAGAUACCCGUGUAGUCCCUGUCUCUUAUA